rnacentral:rRNA from 1 species
UACAGAGGUCUCAAGCGUUGUUCGGAUUCAUUGGGCGUAAAGCGCACGUAGGCGGACUCUUAAGUCGGAGGUGAAAUCCUGGAGCUCAACUCCAGAACUGCCUUCGAUACUGGGAGUCUCGAGUUCGGGAGAGGUGAGUGGAACUGCGAGUGUAGAGGUGAAAUUCGUAGAUAUUCGCAAGAACACCAGUGGCGAAGGCGGCUCACUGGCCCGAUACUGACGCUGAGGUGCGAAAGCGUGGGGAGCAAACAGG